rnacentral:rRNA from 1 species
CAGUCGCCGCGGUAAUACGAAGGGGGCUAGCGUUGCUCGGAAUGACUGGGCGUAAAGGGCGCGUAGGCGGCGGCCAAAGUCAGGCGUGAAAUUCCCGGGCUCAACCUGGGGGCUGCGUUUGGUACUUGGUUGCUUGAGUGGGGAAGAGGGUCGUGGAAUUCCCAGUGUAGAGGUGAAAUUCGUGGAUAUUGGGAAGAACACCGGUGGCGAAGGCGGCGACCUGGUCCUUUACUGACGCUGAGGCGCGAAAGCGUGGGGAGCAAACAGGAUUAGAUACCCGAGUAGUCCCUGUUUCUUAUAC